GACUUUUUAUUUCACCCUUAUCUCUUUCUUUUUUUUAAUUCCUUCGCACGCCAUGGCAGCCGAACCUUUCCCCUCACGCCUUCUGCUUUCUUUGAUUCUUUUUCUUGGACCGAAGCAAACCCACGGAAGCUGCCCCAUGAUUCCUCUUCUUCUCUGCCAUGCCGCACUCACCCAUGCCUCAUCCCCACCGAAACUGAAUUUUCUUCCCUGUAGCUCACCCACGUAUUUCAUUUGGUCAGCAAAUCAGUAACUUCUUCUCGUGGUUGACUCCAGCAGCGACGGAAAGGAUUCCUCCGAGAGACCUCACGUCCCGCGAGCCCCCGCAGCUGCAACUCAGUCCGGUUCCGGGUCGUUCCAUCACCGCGGCCACCGAAUCCAGUCAAACCGUGUCCAUUCAGCCGCUCGAUUCAUCCCUGCAGAAUCGAUUCAGCAAGGUCAGAAGCUUGGGAGCAGAAAACCCAGCUCAAACAGCGAGCCUGUAGGCCGAUUUCGGCCUCGGUUUGGCCCUGCUUGGCGGUUCUGCUUUGAGGUUUAUUGGCCCUCGUCGCGUGCUUCGUCAUUUUGAUCCGGGCAGAUCUUUAAUCAGGGCAACCGGGGAUCGUACCAACCCAAUGGGUUCGAUGAUGAGCGAGGUCAGUUAAGAAAGGCAAGCAAUGAGGGUCAAGUGGGGUGAGCAUCGAACAGAAUAAGCAUCGAAUGUCGAGCGGGGAGAAACAAGCCAAGCGAGCAUCGAGCAACGAGCAACACCAGUGACCCAAAGCAUGCGAGGUGAGUGUCGAGUGGUGAGUGGAGAAAUUGUUUUUUUCGAUUUUGAAAAAUUGAAGACUAAGAGGACAAAUAAGAUAGAACAGAACGGAUACUAGAGAAGGAUGUCAUAAGGUGUCUUUUUGGAUGCCGUGAGGAUUUCUCACAAAAAUAUUUUCCUCAUUCGUAAAUUAUGACUAUUGACAUUAUAAAAGACAUGAAAAAUCUAAGGUAUUAAAGAACAAUGUAAAAUUACUUAAACUCUUCACUAAAGAGCCGUUUAAUGUUGUUAAUGCCGUUUAUUUUAAAAAAAAUUAUAUAUAAAAAAAUUAUAUAUAUAGUCAAGGUUUACCUUACCAAAAUAUUUAUAUAUAGUUAGGAUUGGUUCAGGUUAGAUUGACUCGGAACUCUUAGGACCGAAGACCGACCCACACAGUGCUGGUCUAGGAAUUUCCAGGAUCAAGGACCAACCCAAUCUCCCUAAGAACCGGACCAGAACUGGUAGGAUUGAGCCAGUCCAAGGUUAGUCCAGGGUUGACCCUGGACCGAUGCUCACCCCUAGAAUGGACGACAUGCCAUAACAGCUUGGUGACUCAACAUGUCAUUUUGUAAAAUGUACGUUAUGAUGAAUAUACUCGGCGACUCUUUAUGUCAUUUUGUAGAAUGGACGGUAUGCAAUACCGGCUCGGUGACUCUAUAUGUCAUUUUGAAGAAUGGACGGUAUUUAAUGUCGGCUCGAUUACCCUAUAGGUCAUUUUGUAGAAUGGACGACAUGACAUAACGGCUUGGUGACUCAACAUGUCAUUUUACAGAAUGUACGUUAUGAUGAAUAUGCUUGGUAACUUAUUAUGUCAUUUCGAAGAAUGAAUUGUAUAAUACUAGCUUGGUAACCUGAUAGGUUAUUUUAAAGAAUGGACAAUAUUGAUUGAAAUGACUAAGAAUGGUAUGUUUGAAAUGUAAAUUGACUAGGUCGAUUGACUGAUGUUUUGAUUGGUGCCGUUUGAUUAGGUGCCUGUUUGAACUGUACUAAUUUGUAGGUGGAAUCUGAGGCCAAGGUAAGCCCUCUCACUCAUGUGUGCUUAAGCAGCCCAUAGUGUAUUGGUUUAUUAAUCGGGUCUUAGGGAGUAGAACUUGCUAAGAUGUUGUCUCACUAGUUAUUGAAUAACCAUUUUCAGGUCCUUAGACGACAUUGGUGAAGGACUGGAGGCUCGAAGUGUGGAAGGAGAAGCCUGAAGAAUUGAUGAUCCUAUUGGACUAACUAGUCAUAGGGCAAUUCUCUUUUGUUAGAAGUCGAUUCCAUUUUGUAGACUCUGUUAUAUAAACUUGUGGUUUAAACUUGACUUAACAAUUCGACUUGUAUAUAUUUACACUAUGUUGGGCAAUGCAUAUAAGUGUGGAUGCUUUUAAAGUCGAAA